GGCGGCCACACUGCUCUUGCUUGACUGCGGCGCAGACCGAGACCGGCCGGCUGACUGCUUAUUCAUAGCCCAGGAGGAGCCCGUUAUUCCGCCGAGUGCAGUCAGCGUGUUGUGCCUGAAGUGUGCCCGGACACCGCUAGCAUGUUCCCCCGCUCCGUGUUCUCUCUGUGCGCGCUCCUGGCGCUGGUACUGCCGCUCCAAGUGGCCUCUCAGGGUGAGCUUGACCUGGCCGAUGCUAUUGGUGGUGAUGUAGUGACACCGAAGCCUGCAGCACCAGCAGUUCCAGCAGGUGGCGCGGGAGGGCAGGUAAAGGUAAGAACUGCCAUAACAGGUGUUAAACUAUUGUCAAAAGACAGAGAUCGAUUUAGUGGCUCUUUUAUCGCAUGUAUAAAUGCCAUUCUUUUAAAGUCACUAUUACAUGCACAAGUUUUGUACUUUAUGAAAAAUCUAACAAUCAUGUGA
rnacentral:lncRNA from 1 species